GGUAGCUCUGCUCUGCUUCGUGAAGUCUAGGAUGGAAGCUGGGAUGACUUGAAUAGCUGGGGCCUGGUCAGGUGCUGAGGAUGAACCCAGGGCCUUGUGCACACUAGAAAAGACUGCCAUGUGCAGCGUCUCAUUUGGAUGUGUCUGGAAUCCUGGAAGCUUGACCACUCUAUCUUCUCCUAUAAAUGGACCUCCAGAGCUUGUUAGAAGGGCUUGCAGGGGAGCCUGGCUACUUUUAUAUACUCAACAAAAGAAUGGUCCUCCUUCAUCAGGGAAGGUCAUCCUCUUCAACUGGGCAUGCCGUUUUAGGAAGUCUGACAUGAGUAAUGAGGGAGGAAGAGGAAACUGGUCUAGCCAGCCAGAGUCCUCGAUCCGUCCCAAGGAGAAUGAGAAGUGGAUUGGAAAGAAAGGAACUGUGUGGGAGUGGGCAGCAUGGGGCCUGAGCUGAUCUGAGUCACCCCACUGGAACCUGGCACCCUUCUCUGAUGCCCACACCCUCUACCACUUCUGUGCCUUCAUCUUUACCUUCUUCAUUUAUUUAUUCACUCAUUUAUUUUAAAAAAUCCAUUACAUGUCAUCUGCAGACUGGAUGGAUAUUGGUACUGUCCCUCUCUCCAUAGAUCUGAAAACUCUGUAAGCGUAACAGGGAACUAAUAAACCAGUUAAUAAA